rnacentral:rRNA from 1 species
CAGAGGGUGCGAGCGUUAACUCGGAAUUACUGGGCGUAAAGCGCGCGUAGACGGUUAUUUAAGUCGGAUGUGAAGGCCCCGGGCUCAACCUGGGAAUUGCAUUCGAGACUGAAUAGCUAGGGUACGGUAGAGGGAAGCGGAAUUUCCGGUGUAGCGGUGAAAUGCGUAGAUAUCGGAAGGAACAUCAGUGGCGAAAGCGGCUUCCUGGACCAGUACCGACGUUCAGGCACGAAAGCGUGGGGAGCAAACAGGAUUAGAUACCCUGGUAGUCCACGCCAUAAACGAUGAGGACUAGACGUUGGAGGGUUAAGCCUUUCAGUGUCGUAGCUAACGCGCUAAGUCCUCCGCCUGGGGAGUACGGCCGCAAGGUUG